rnacentral:rRNA from 1 species
AGAGUUUGAUCCUGGCUCACAAUUAAGGCUGGCGGUAGGCCUAACACAUGCAAGUCGAGGGAGAAUCUAUCUUCGGAUAGUGGAGACCGGCAGACGGGUGAGUAACACGUGGGAACAUACCGAGUAGUGGGGGAUAACAGUUGGAAACGACUGCUAAUACCGCAUACGCCCUUCGGGGGAAAGAUUUAUCGUUAUUCGAUUGGCCCGUGUUAGAUUAGCUAGUUGGUAAGGUAACGGCUUACCAAGGCGACGAUCUAUAUUUGGUUUGAGAGGAUGAUCAGCCUCACUGGGACUGAGACACGGCCCAGACUCCUACGGGAGGCAGCACUGGGGAAUAUUGAGCAAUGGAGGAAACUCUGACGCAACCAUGCCGCGUGAGUGAAGAAGGCCUUAGGGUUGUAAAGCUCUUUCAGACGCGAUGAUGAUGACAGUAUCGUCAAAAGAAGUUCCGGUUAACUUCGUGCCAACAGCCGCGGUAAUACGAAGGGAACUAGCGUUGUUCGGAUUUACUGGGCGUAAAGAGCAUGUACGCGGAUUGGACAGCUGAGGGUGAAAUCCCAGAGCUCAACUCUCGGAACUGCCUGUCAAUACUUCCAGUCUAGAGUCCGCAAGGGGGUGGUGGAAUUCCGAGUGUAGAGGUGAAAUUCGAACUGUAUUCGGAAGCUGCAUCGACUGGCGAAGGGCGACCGCCCUGAGUACGAAUAUCCGACGCUGAGCAUG